UACGUAGGGCGCAAGCGUUGUCCGGAAUUAUUGGGCGUAAAGAGCUCGUAGGCGGCUUGUCACGUCGGUUGUGAAAGCCCGGGGCUUAACCCCGGGUCUGCAGGUCGAUACGGGCAGGCGUAGAGUGUGGUAGGGGAGAUCGGAAUUCCUGGUGUAGCGGUGAAAUGCGCAGAUAUCAGGAGGAACACCGGUGGCGAAGGCGGGUCUCUGGGCCGUAACUGACGCUGAGGAGCGAAAGCAUGGGGAGCGAACAGG
rnacentral:rRNA from 1 species